rnacentral:rRNA from 1 species
GACGAACGCUGGCGGUUUGCUUAACACAUGCAAGUCGAACGGAAAGGCCCUGCUUUUGUGGGGUGCUCGAGUGGCGAACGGGUGAGUAACACGUGAGUAACCUGCCCUUGACUUUGGGAUAACUUCAGGAAACUGGGGCUAAUACCGGAUAGGAGCUCCUGCUGCAUGGUGGGGGUUGGAAAGUUUCGGCGGUUGGGGAUGGACUCGCGGCUUAUCAGCUUGUUGGUGGGGUAGUGGCUUACCAAGGCUUUGACGGGUAGCCGGCCUGAGAGGGUGACCGGCCACAUUGGGACUGAGAUACGGCCCAGACUCCUACGGGAGGCAGCAGUGGGGAAUAUUGCACAAUGGGCGGAAGCCUGAUGCAGCAACGCCGCGUGCGGGAUGACGGCCUUCGGGUUGUAAACCGCUUUCGCCUGUGACGAAGCGUGAGUGACGGUAAUGGGUAAAGAAGCACCGGCUAACUACGUGCCAGCAGCCGCGGUGAUACGUAGGGUGCGAGCGUUGUCCGGAUUUAUUGGGCGUAAAGGGCUCGUAGGUGGUUGAUCGCGUCGGAAGUGUAAUCUUGGGGCUUAACCCUGAGCGUGCUUUCGAUACGGGUUGACUUGAGGAAGGUAGGGGAGAAUGGAAUUCCUGGUGGAGCGGUGGAAUGCGCAGAUAUCAGGAGGAACACCAGUGGCGAAGGCGGUUCUCUGGGCCUUUCCUGACGCUGAGGAGCGAAAGCGUGGGGAGCGAACAGGCUUAGAUACCCUGGUAGUCCACGCUGUAAACGGUGGGUACUAGGUGUGGGGUCCAUUCCACGGGUUCCGUGCCGUAGCUAACGCUUUAAGUACCCCGCCUGGGGAGUACGGCCGCAAGGCUAAAACUCAAAGGAAUUGACGGGGCCCCGCACAAGCGGCGGAGCAUGCGGGUUAAUUCGAUGCAACGCGUAGAACCUUACCUGGGUUUGACAUGGAUCGGGAGCGCUCAGAGAUGGGUGUGCCUCUUUUGGGGUCGGUUCACAGGUGGUGCAUGGCUGUCGUCAGCUCGUGUCGUGAGAUGUUGGGUUAAGUCCCGCAACGAGCGCAACCCUUGUUCACUGUUGCCAGCACGUUAUGGUGGGGACUCAGUGGAGACCGCCGGGGUCAACUCGGAGGAAGGUGGGGAUGACGUCAAGUCAUCAUGCCCCUUAUGUCCAGGGCUUCACGCAUGCUACAAUGGCUGGUACAGAGAGUGGCGAGCCUGUGAGGGUGAGCGAAUCUCGGAAAGCCGGUCUCAGUUCGGAUUGGGGUCUGCAACUCGACCUCAUGAAGUCGGAGUCGCUAGUAAUCGCAGAUCAGCAACGCUGCGGUGAAUACGUUCCCGGGGCU